rnacentral:rRNA from 1 species
CCUACGGGCGGCAGCAGUGGGGAAUAUUGGACAAUGGGCGAAAGCCUGAUCCAGCCAUGCCGCGUGUGUGAAGAAGGCCUUCGGGUUGUAAGCACUUUCAGUGGGGAAGAAAGCCUUGGGGCUAAUACCCUCGAGGAAGGACAUCACCCACAGAAGAAGCACCGGCUAACUCCGUGCCAGCAGCCGCGGUAAUACGGAGGGUGCGAGCGUUAAUCGGAAUUACUGGGCGUAAAGCGCGCGUAGGCGGUCUGAUAAGCCGGUUGUGAAAGCCCCGGGCUCAACCUGGGAACGGCAUCCGGAACUGUCAGGCUAGAGUGCAGGAGAGGAAGGUAGAAUUCCCGGUGUAGCGGUGAAAUGCGUAGAGAUCGGGAGGAAUACCAGUGGCGAAGGCGGUCUUCUGGACUGACACUGACGCUGAGGUGCGAAAGCGUGGGUAGCAAACAGGAUUAGAUACCCUAGUAGUC